rnacentral:rRNA from 1 species
UACAGAGGGUGCAAGCGUUAAUCGGAAUUACUGGGCGUAAAGCGCACGUAGGCGGCUUUGUAAGUAAGAGGUGAAAGCCCAGAGCUCAACUCUGGAAUUGCCUUUUAGACUGCAUCGCUUGAAUCAUGGAGAGGUCAGUGGAAUUCCGAGUGUAGAGGUGAAAUUCGUAGAUAUUCGGAAGAACACCAGUGGCGAAGGCGGCUGACUGGACAUGUAUUGACGCUGAGGUGCGAAAGCGUGGGGAGCAAACAGG